rnacentral:rRNA from 1 species
UGCAAGUCGAGCGGAACGAGUUAUCUGAACCUUCGGGGGACGAUAACGGCGUCGAGCGGCGGACGGGUGAGUAAUGCCUGGGAAAUUGCCCUGAUGUGGGGGAUAACCAUUGGAAACGAUGGCUAAUACCGCAUAAUCUCUUCGGAGUAAAGAGGGGGACCUUCGGGCCUCUCGCGUCAGGAUAUGCCCAGGUGGGAUUAGCUAGUUGGUGAGGUAAUGGCUCACCAAGGCGACGAUCCCUAGCUGGUCUGAGAG